rnacentral:lncRNA from 1 species
CUUAGAGAACAGGAAGUGGGAGCCACAUACCCCGAGCUGGCGGCUUGAGCCUGUGGUAUCUAGGCUCACCUCACUGCGGUUGGUGGAGGUGAUGGAGGUUGCAGCUUGGCCAGCAUGGUAGAAAGGUGGCAGGACUCUAGAUUCUAGAGGGCAACCUCUGUUUGCUCAUGCUGGAGCGUGGCAGGUGCACAAUGUUUCCUUGGGAAUCCUCAGCAGGGCACGUCUGGCUUUUACCACCCAGUUGCUUCGAGCCAGGAGAUGGAGGAGUCAUCUGUUGCACGCUGGAGGCUGGAGCCUGCAGAUGGCAUGGUUCUGUGGCUCACCUCGCUGCAGUUGGUGGCAGAGACAGAGACUGCAGCUUGACCAGAGUGGUGGAGUGAGUAUUGUCAUCUGCAUGAGCAAAUCUGGUUCAUCACAUCUUUGCAACAGGAAAAGGAAGGGAGGAUCAUGUGUAUAAUGUUUUAAGGCCAAGAUUCACAACAAGAACAAAGUCUUUAUUAACUUUUGCCUUCAAGAACCUGCAGUGUUGAGCCCUUUUUUAUUUCUGGUAUUACUACCUUUGGUUGGAGUGCAGUGGCAUGAUCUUGACUCACUGCAACCUCCACCUCCCGGGUUCAAGCCAUUCUCUUCCCUCAGCCUCCUCAGUAGCUGGAUUACAGGUACCUCCCACCACACCCAGAUAUGUAUCUCAAGAGCACUCCACAACAAAGAUUCUGCCUGCAAUCCUCCACUUCAAGGUCUGUUCCAGGAAACCUGUGUAACACAGUUAUGCAUAGAGUGGUCUUAGGAAGCUGACUCUAACAUGAAAAUUUAGAGUUGGAUCUUUUGCUGACAUAUUGAAUAUUCAUAAGAGCAUAUGAUACAUUUGUCUAUCAUAAACAUGUCAUUUCAAAAAACCCUCAAAGUUGCCUUGUAGAACAUAAUUUUAAAACUAGUGUGUAGGAAUAUUUCAUAUCAGUUAUUCAGUCUUCUUAAUAUCUGAACCGAAAUUAAUCUUCCAUUCUGCUUUUAUUUAUAAAUAAUGAUUUAUUGUCAGAUUCAAUAAUUUAUAUUUUCAUUUAUUCUAAGGUAGGAAAUACCAGCAUAAAAAUAAAUUAUUUGAAACAAAUCACAUUGUUGUCCCAUUUUACCAUUACUCACAUGUAGAAGAUAUUGUUUUUAACAAAAACAAUAAGAGAAACAGAAACUACCAUUUAUUAACUGAUGCUUACUGGAAGCUUUAGAAGGAUCUUAUUUAACUUUCAAUCAAGUUUUUCAUGGACAUUUUUGUUAUUGAGAAAUAAUUUUAAUUUAUCAGAUCCUCAAAGCAAAUUAUAUAGGUGCCAUUAUUAACAGAUUUUUUAAAAAAACCUGAUUCAUAGAAAAGGUUAAUGAUAUGGUUUGGAUCUUUGACCCCAUCAAA